rnacentral:rRNA from 1 species
GGAGGAGGCUCUUGGGUUGUAAACCUCUUUUCUCAGGGAAGAAAACAAUGACGGUACCUGAGGAAUAAGCAUCGGCUAACUCCGUGCCAGCAGCCGCGGUAAUACGGAGGAUGCAAGCGUUAUCCGGAAUGAUUGGGCGUAAAGCGUCCGCAGGUGGCUGUGUAAGUCUGCUGUCAAAGAGCAAAGCUCAACUUUGUAAAGGCAGUGGAAACUACACGGCUAGAGUGCGUUCGGGGCAGAGGGAAUUCCUGGUGUAGCGGUGAAAUGCGUAGAGAUCAGGAAGAACACCGGUGGCGAAGGCGCUCUGCUAGGCCGCAACUGACACUGAGGGACGAAAGCUAGGGGAGCGAAUGGGAUUAGAUACCCCAGUAGUCCUAGCCGUAAACGAUGGAUACUAGGCGUGGCUUGUAUCGACCCGAGCCGUGCCGUAGCUAACGCGUUAAGUAUCCCGCCUGGGGAGUACGCACGCAAGUGUGAAACUCAAAGGAAUUGACGGGGGCCCGCACAAGCGGUGGAGUAUGUGGUUUAAUUCGAUGCAACGCGAAGAACCUUACCAAGGCUUGACAUGUCGCGAAUCUUCUUGAAAGGGAAGAGUGCCUUCGGGAGCGCGAACACAGGUGGUGCAUGGCUGUCGUCAGCUCGUGUCGUGAGAUGUUGGGUUAAGUCCCGCAACGAGCGCAACCCUCGUUUUUAGUUGCCAGCACUUAGGGUGGGCACUCUAGAGAGACUGCCGGUGACAAACCGGAGGAAGGUGGGGAUGACGUCAAGUCAGCAUGCCCCUUACGCCUUGGGCUACACACGUACUACAAUGCUCCGGACAGAGGGCAGCAAGCUAGCGAUAGCAAGCUAAUCCCAUAAACCGGAGCUCAGUUCAGAUCGCAGGCUGCAACUCGCCUGCGUGAAGGAGGAAUCGCUAGUAAUUGCAGGUCAGCAUACUGCAGUGAAUUCGUUCCCGGGCCUUGUACACACCGCCCGUCACACCAUGGAAGCUGGUAGUGCCCGAAGUCAUUACUCCACCUUUCGGGGGGGGAGGAUGCCUAAGGCAGGACUGGUGACUGGGGGUGAAAUCCUAAAAAGGAACCCUACCCCAAAGGGUGGGUGGGAUCCCUCCUUUUUUGGGAAACCACCCCCCCCCAAAAAUAGAAAACAACAGUUAAAAAAAAAAAGGGGUUGGUUUA